rnacentral:rRNA from 1 species
CCCUUAGAGUUUGAUCCUGGCUCAGGAUGAACGCUGGCGGCGUGCCUAACACAUGCAAGUCGAACGAGCAAAUACAUUUGAUUUCUUCGGAAUGAAGAUGUAGGCGCGAGUGGCGGACGGGUGAGUAACGCGUGAGUAAUCUGCCUCAUACAGGAGAAUAACACUAAGAAAUUGGUGCUAAUACUCCAUAAGCUCACAUUAUGACAUCAUAGAGUGAGAAAAGAUUUAUCGGUAUGAGAGGAGCUCGCGUCUGAUUAGCUAGUUGGUGGGGUAACGGCCUACCAAGGCAACGAUCAGUAGCCGACCUGAGAGGGUGAUCGGCCACAUUGGAACUGAGACACGGUCCAAACUCCUACGGGAGGCAGCAGUGGGGAAUAUUGCACAAUGGGGGAAACCCUGAUGCAGCAACGCCGCGUGAAGGAAGAAGUAUUUCGGUAUGUAAACUUCUAUCGACAGGGAAGAAACAAAUGACGGUACCUGAAUAAGAAGCACCGGCUAAAUACGUGCCAGCAGCCGCGGUAAUACGUAUGGUGCAAGCGUUAUCCGGAUUUACUGGGUGUAAAGGGUGAGUAGGCGGUCAUGCAAGUCAUAUGUGAAAUGUCAGGGCUUAACCUUGGCGCUGCAUAAGAAACUGUAUGACUAGAGUGCAGGAGAGGUAAGCGGAAUUCCUAGUGUAGCGGUGAAAUGCGUAGAUAUUAGGAAGAACACCGGUGGCGAAGGCGGCUUACUGGACUGUUACUGACGCUGAGUCACGAAAGCGUGGGGAGCAAACAGGAUUAGAUACCCUGGUAGUCCACGCCGUAAACGAUGAGUGCUAGGUGUUGGCCAGAGAUGGUCGGUGCCGCAGCAAACGCAAUAAGCACUCCACCUGGGGAGUACGACCGCAAGGUUGAAACUCAAAGGAAUUGACG